rnacentral:rRNA from 1 species
UACGGAGGGUGCAAGCGUUAUCCGGAUUCACUGGGUUUAAAGGGUGCGUAGGUGGGUCUGUAAGUCAGUGGUGAAAUCUCCGUGCUUAACAUGGAAACUGCCAUUGAUACUACUGGUCUUGAAUUUUCUGGAGGUAAGCGGAAUAUGUCAUGUAGCGGUGAAAUGCUUAGAUAUGACAUAGAACACCAAUUGCGAAGGCAGCUUACUACAGGGACAUUGACACUGAGGCACGAAAGCGUGGGGAUCAAACAGG